GUGCCAGCCGCCGCGGUAAGACGUAGGAGGCGAGCGUUAUCCGGAUUCACUGGGCGUAAAGCGCAUGUAGGCGGCUGAGUAAGUCGUGUGUUAAAGCCCCUGGCUCAACUGGGGGAGGUCAUGCGAGACUAUUCGGCUUGAGGGCAGCAGAGGCACGUGGAACUCCCGGUGUAGCGGUGGAAUGCGUAGAGAUCGGGAAGAACACCAGUGGCGAAGGCGGCGUGCUGGGCUGCGACUGACGCUGAGAUGCGAAAGUGUGGGGAGCAAACGGGAUUAGAAACCCGGGUAGUCC
rnacentral:rRNA from 1 species